AACGAACGCUGGCGGCAUGCCUAACACAUGCAAGUCGAACGAGACCUUCGGGUCUAGUGGCGCACGGGUGCGUAACGCGUGGGAACCUGCCCUUAGGUUCGGAAUAACUCCCCGAAAGGGGUGCUAAUACCGGAUAAUGUCUUCGGACCAAAGAUUUAUCGCCUUUGGAUGGGCCCGCGUUGGAUUAGCUAGUUGGUAGGGUAAAAGCCUACCAAGGGUAGGAUCCAUAGCUGGUCUGAGAGGAAGGUCAGCCACACUGGGACUGGGAAACGGCCCGGACUACUGCAGGAGGGAGGAAGGGGGGAUCAUGGAAAACGGGGUGAAGGAUGAAGCACGUAUGACGGGUGAGCGAUGGAAGUCUUAAGGGUGGUAAGCACUUUUAACCCGGACUGUUAUGACAGUACCGGGAGAAUAAGCACCGGCUAACUUCGUG
rnacentral:rRNA from 1 species